GAUGAAGAACGCAGCGAAAUGCGAUAAGUAAUGUGAAUUGCAGAAUUCAGUGAAUCAUCGAAUCUUUGAACGCACAUUGCGCCCCUUGGUAUUCCGAGGGGCAUGCCUGUUCGAGCGUCAUUAUAACCCCUCAAGCUCAGCUUGGUGUUGGGGCCUGCUGCACUGGCAGCCCUUAAGAUCAGUGGCGGCGCCAUCUGGCUCUAAGCGUAGUAAUUCUUCUCGCUAUGGAGUCCUGGUGGAUGCUUGCCAUCAACCCCCAAUUUUUCUAUGGUUGACCUCGGAUCAGGUAGGGAUACCCGCUGAACUUAAGCAUAUCAAUAACGGAGGA
rnacentral:misc_RNA from 1 species